GGCACUUGUGUCUCUGCAGAACCCGAGUGAGUUUCCCCUCAACAGCCCGCGGCCAAAUCGCCACUCCUGAUUGGGUAAUUAUGUGGGCGUGGUUUUGGGUUAAUGGGUCAAAAGUGGAUAGGAAGCUGGCCGUCAGGGCAAAAAUGAAGCUGUGUACAGGAGCGUGUUCCGACAGAGCAGCUUUGCUUUUGGCUAAUAUGGCUUUUAAGAGCACGAGGAAUGCUCUUCUGUAGUCUGUGUUAGUGCCUUCCAUCACCGGAAGGGAAAAUUAUUGCAUUCCUUAUGUGUUUAUGUAAUAAUAAUCUUAAUAAUCUUAGUAAUCUUAUGUCAUCAUUCCCACAAUUAUCUGAAUAAAAUAAAAUCACUGGUUCUCAUAGUAAUCAGAGACCAACUCCCCAAUUUAUUCCUAAUGAGCGAACACCACGUGACUUUAAUCAGCGUCCGCGCGCCUGGUGUAUGUUAAUUAUUAAUAAAGUAGCAGCUGAAUCAACACCGCGCAGAGGGACUGAGGACAUGUUUGCUCUGCUGCUCGGGCUGAGGGUCGCUGCUGGGAUUCAGACAGCAGGCCGCUCCAUAAACACGCACGCGUCUGUAAAAUCUGCAUCAAACAAACAUUCUGGAGCGGAAAGAAGCAUUUCCGGUGUGCACGCGGUGCACCUGCUCGAGCGGAGAGAGGGAGAGAGAGAGAGAGAGAGAGAGAGAGAGAGAGAGCGAAUUUCAAAAGUAAGCAGCACAGUGGUGCAGCAGGAAGCCGUGUCAUCUCCCAGCUCCAUGGUUCCGAUUCGAUCCUGAGAUCGAGUUACUGUCUGUGUGGAGAUGUACAAGUUCUUCCCUGUGUCCAUGUGGAUUUCCUCCGGUUGACUAUACAACUAAACUAAUUAUACAAUCAAAUUCAUUAACAUGUUGGUCUUUUUUGCAGUAUGAAAGAUAUAAGGGAAAAUGACAGGACGUAGUGUCAAACCCUGGGGAACGCCACAGUUUCCACUUUAUUUUUAUCUAAAGGGUGAAUUGCAGUCUGUGUUGCACAUUUAAAUGAUCAUAUGAAUGCAUUUCUGUAGUUCUUAAAGGAAUAGCUAUGAAAUAUGACUUUAUUCUGGUCACUAAUAUAAAACCUUAACAGAAGCAUUUUUAAUUAAAAAAAAUUCCCACUUACAGCUACAGGAUGUAUGAUUUUGUAAUUUCACACUCUCUGGAAUAAAAUGAUAUUGUGA